UAGAAAGUCUGCUCUUUUUCCUGUUAAAGCUCCUUUUUAAAGUACGAUUCCAGGACAAAGUCCUUGUAAUAUCCCUUCAACGUGUGAACUAAAUCUCUGUGUGUUACAGGAGGAACUGAUUUUGGAAAUAGUCAAUGAUCCAAACUGUAAACCCAAACAAUUCAGACACUCCUACCUGCGCAGCACCCUGGUCCUCAUUCUGGUAACUCUCAUGCUGAUACUGAUCAUUGGUCUCGCUCAAGCCCUGGUGGUGUUUCGAGUGGUGGCCGCCCCCUUGAUGUCUGAAGGCAGCUGGGAGUUUAUCGGGGAUCAUGCCAACACUGUGGCGAUCAUGCUUGGAGCCGUGCUGCACUAUCUCACCAUUCAGAUCAUGACCCGCCAGUUCCUUACGAAGUAAAACCAGAUACAAACAACUCCAGUGGUGGUGCAUUUGCAGCCAUUCUGCCCACAGUUUGUCAACAUGUCUGAAGUUCUUUUCACCAAGUGGGAGAUGUUGUUGGUGUCAGAAAUUCUUGAAAUCUCCAACUCCUCAAGAUACCCUCACUUCGUUGUACAGGGCCCAGUUCCUGCACACUCAGCGUUGUGUUCAUCCUGCGUUAUAUAAAGGAAGAGGUGUAACUAGUGUUAGCUGUCUCAUCAUGGGUCCAGGUGUGGUGAAAGAAAGUCACAGCAACGGGAUGUCCUAUGACCUCAUCAUCAAGUAUGUUACUCCAGUAUUUGAAUCACAAUACAUUGUCCCGUGGAAACACAGGCAGUCUUAAAUCACAGACUAACCCUAACCCUGCUGGAACUGAAGUGAAUGGGGCCAAAGUAAAACCUCCUCCUGUCAAAUAAAGCGCUGUCAUGAACAUGCUGCUAUUAAGAGAUCAGACUCAAAGCGUGUUUGACUUUUACCAUCCUGCCUUGUAUAUGAGCACAACAGAUUCUAGAUCAAAGUGUCUUGACAACUUACACAAGUCAACUCAGAAGGGAGCUGAGGAAGGACAAAAUAAACUAGAGAUGGCAAUUUGGGCCAGUGGCCCCUUCCUCACUUCCUACCACCUACUUUCGGCGCCCUUGCUCUGACCACAAGUGCAAUAAAUGUCACUUCUGUCCAUCCUGAUAGAGGGAUCCUCCUUUGUCUUUUAAACUGACAGAACAAUCAUCCCACCACUGAGGAAACAGGAAGACGGUUCUGCAUCUGAUAUUUGUGAACAAGCUUGUGAACACACAGCCUCCUGCUCUUAGUAAGGUCAACCUGCCGACAAUGUAAUAACUAUCAAAUGUCUCCUGUCUGUCUGUUCGUCUCUCUCACUCAACAUCACCUGUAGGUAAACAGAUGGGUGUCCCUCAAGCUGUGUCACAUAGAGAAGACCAACUCAUUUGCAGCCACAGAGAGGAACUUCACAGUCAAGAUGUUCACCUUCCAGUUCUUCACUCUCUUCUCCUCACUCUUCUAUGUGGCCUUCUUCCUGGGCAG